GCCGAAGUGGUGGAACUGGUAGACACGCCAUCUUGAGGGGGUGGUGGGUUAUGCCUGUGCGGGUUCGAGUCCCGCCUUCGGCACCA
rnacentral:tRNA from 1 species